GUGUGUACUGUCGCAGAAACACAGUGUAGGUCAUUAGAACAAGCUGCCAACUUAGCGUAGUAUUGCAUAAACGUUUUAGUCAUUCAAUUAUUGUGAGCAUUUAGCAAAUAAUUCCGUUCACUUUUGUUUCUCAGACAAUCGUAGUAUCUGUGUUACGGUGCCCCUUCCCCCUACACGUGGCUCAAACAAAGCGUUCAAUCAAGUAAGACUGUUCCAAUAUUCCCGGACUACAUCAGUGGAUGAAAUAAAGCAUGGAUUGUUUCACCUGCUAUGAAUUCUUAAUCUCUCCAUGCUGAAAAAAGAGUGAGUGCUACUAGAACAUUUUAUUGUGUCUUUAUCGGGCUUAAGUUAUCACCACUUAGCUUAAACUCAAAUCGCACAACCAUAAGUCUAGCUGUUCAAGUACAUUGUGAUUCCAUUGAAGCCAUCUGUGCAUAUGAAGUAAACACAAACGCUCAGUGCCAGCAACCACUACGUUCAUAAACUGCUAGCCACAAUGUUUUGCCUGUAAAAACAAUAAUGCCAAUUUCCAGGCAAUGAGAGAAUCACCAUGGGUCUUAGUUUCAUAUCAGAGAAUCCAUACAACACAAGAAAACAAAAUUAGACUAGAAGCACUAGAAUUUCUUCAACAUGCCUGUAGAUCUUGGCAAUUCAAUCUGAUCACGUGGCCUGAAACUCCUGUACACAUUUUCCCAAAAUGUCGUCUCUUGCUUCACGUACGUUCGUUUCGUCACAUGCAGCUAAAUACUUCAGAACAAAAAAAGUAGUUAUGUUGGUCAACUCUUUAACCCUAAAGUUUACACAUUAAGCCUGGGUUUUUAGGUUUUUAGGUUGUAGCUUUCAUCACAUGCAGAAACACUCCAUGACAAUUUGAAGUGCCGGAGUGUCUGUUCGUGAGUGACGAAAUACCGCUAUUUCUAUUUGCUUUUCAGACAGGACAGGAAUGUGUUGCUGACAGUGUUUUUCGAGGUCUGAGCCUUCCUUUCUGUUUUUUUCUUUUACAUUUAGAAAUGAUAAGUUAUUUCCACGCCAUUCAACCAACCUGAAGCGAAUCAUUCUUAAUCAAGUAAUAUGUCGAAGAUCUGGCCUUUCUUAAGGUGAUCGCUGCUGUGUCAUGAAAAUGCGUCUUUGAGACUAUAUUGCAAGACUAAAAUGUGAUGAAAACAGGAAAUCUGAAAUGGAAAUAAUUUACUUGUAAGAUAAACCAAAUAGGUUAGCAUUUUGUUCUUGAUGUUAAAGACAAGUGACUUCUUAUUUCGUGGUUCAAAUUAAGAUAGCUUUUGUGAAAACAUUUUUGUCAGUUUCUAAAGAGUUUUAACUUUUUAUAUUGAACUGAUAUUACCUUCAUUCUUAAAAACUUGAAAUGAAAUCUUCAUUAUGUGAUGAUCUCUGGUCAUCUUCUUGAUUUUGUUUUCUCUAGUUUAGUGUACAGUACAUUUGAAGUAAAUUUUUUUUAUACAAAAAAUCGCAAAACAAAUCACAGGAAAUAUUUGCAACUGAUGGGUAACUUUAGCUUACCCAUGUAAUCUCAUUGGAUAAAUGAGAGGAUAUUCUCUGUAAUAUCUCCUAUCUCCAUA